rnacentral:misc_RNA from 1 species
GAAAAUUUCAACCGAAGGAGCAUCCUUUGUACAAAUCUAUGAGGGUUUGUAGUACUUGGUCGGCACGAACGGCAUCUUGGUGACGACGGCAUCGUAGGACUUCCCACGGACGACAACCUUGAACUCUGUCCCAGCCUUGUGCAAACCGGAUUUUACGUAGCCCAUGGCGAUGUUCUUCUUCAAGCAGGGGCUGAACCCUCCACUGGUAACCUCACCAAUGUUCUCCCCGGAGUUGCUCACAAUCUCACUAUGACUCCGAGGAGGCGGUCCUUGCGAGAGGAGACCGACACGCCUGAUCUUUGGGCCUUCCUGGAGCUGCUUGAGGAUCACAUCUGCUCCCAGGAAGCCGCCUUCUGCUUUCCUCCUCUUGCCAAUUGCCCAUGAGAGACCAGCCUCAACUGGUGUGAUGUGUUGCUCCAUGUCGUUGCCGUACAGGCAGAGGCCAGCCUCCAAGCGGAGACUGUCACGGGCACCUAAACCAGUCAGUCUCACCUUGCCUUCAGAUUUCUCCAGGAGGGCCUUUGC